rnacentral:rRNA from 1 species
UACGGGGGGGGCAAGCGUUGUUCGGAAUUACUGGGCGUAAAGGGCUCGUAGGCGGCCAACUAAGUCAGACGUGAAAUCCCCAGGCUCAACCUGGGAACUGCGUCUGAUACUGGAUGGCUUGAAUUCGGGAGAGGGAUGCAGAAUUCCAAGGUGUAGCGGUGAAAUGACGUAGAUAUCUGGAGGAAUACCGGUGGCGAAGGCGGCAUCCUGGACCGACAUUGACGCUGAGGAGCGAA